UAUCCAUAAUUUAUGGUACAAAUUGAUACAAAUUGAUAAUAGGUUAGGUAAAUGUUUCAUAAUAAUAGGUUAGGUAAAUGUUUCAUAAUAAUAGGUUAGGUAAGUGUUCCAUGAUAAUAGGUUAGGUAAAUGUUCCAUGAUAAUAGGUUAGGUAAAUGUUUCAUGAUAAGAAUUUCAUGUCUUUUGUAUUAAAGAAUUAAAUGGAUGAAAUAUGAAGUUUUAUUAAAAGAAAAAGGGGUGAAAAGAACAAAGUUUUUUCAUCUUUGUUCAUCAUAGCUGAAAGUUAGAGAAGAGAAAGGAGAGGAGAAAGCUCUUGAGUAUUCGGUCAUUAGGAGGAGGAAAAUUGAAGGCGGUUCGCGUGUGGAUCUCGUCAGCAUAUCGUCGCAAACAGGAAAUACCCAACCAUAGUGGGCUUGGAGCUGUGAGGGAAUUCGGAGUGGCCACCCGUUCUGAAAGUUUGAUUUUCUUCUGGUGAACUGGACAUCCUUUUAAUUACGUUUGAGGUUUUGGGCUUUUAAAUGUAAUAAGGCCACUUAUUUAUUUUUGAUGGUUUUAAUAUGUAUUACUAAGAUAGGUAUUACUUAUUUUAACUGUUGAAACUGGAUAGCUUUAGGGCGCGUUUUCAAAAACAACAGUUGAUUUCAAAAUAA